CCAAAAACGGUUAUUCCUUUAAAGACAUUUGUUAUUGUGCUUCUUUUAUAUUUUGUACUACAUCAUGGAAUCUAUUGAUUUUCCAGUUGAGAAAUUUUAUAAUCUAAGAAAUUAGGAACAUGAUACCAAAUAUAUUAACGACUAUUAAAGUGCCAGCAGUCGCGGUCACACUUUAGUUAAAAAUAAAAAAUACUAGGAUAAUGUGUUAAGUAAAUAAUUUCCUAUAGUAAAAUAUGGAUUAAACUGCUCUUUUAUACUUAAAUUUUAUCAAAUACUGAUACCAAACAGGGAUUAGAUACCCCUCUAUGCAGUACGCAAAAAUCUAUCCUGGGCACUACAAUUACCAAAUUAAAACCCAACUAACAUGGCGGUAGUUUAAAUAUUUAGGGGAACUUACUAGAUAAAUGAUAACCACCAAGAACAUGUACGUUAAGUAAUAUUUUACAUACCGUCGUCGUCAGAUAUACUAAAAUGGAAUGUCAUAAUAUUAUUAAUAAAAGGACAGAUCAAGGUGUAGACUACCUUAACGAUUUAGCGAGUUACAAUAUCUAAUAUUUUCUUAAUUCAGCCAUAAUGCUGUUUAAAGGCGGACUUAAAAGUAAUAGUUAAUAAAAUUAAAUUAUGAAUAACUCUUAACCUGUGC
rnacentral:rRNA from 1 species